GCCCAAGGUAGCAUCUUUGUGCAGUAGCAUCCACGAGUCCUACUUUUCUUAGCUAUGAUGAACUUGCUGGGUGACCUUGGGCAAGUUGCUGUCUUACAGCCUCUGUUCCCCAUCUGUAAAAUGGGAAUAGUAAUGACCUGCC
rnacentral:snoRNA from 1 species